GACGAACGCUGGCGGUGUGCUUAACACAUGCAAGUCGAACGGAAAGGCCCUGCUUUUGUGGGGUGCUCGAGUGGCGAACGGGUGAGUAACACGUGAGUAACCUGCCCUUGACUUUGGGAUAACUUCAGGAAACUGGGGCUAAUACCGGAUAGGAGCUCCUGCUGCAUGGUGGGGGUUGGAAAGUUUCGGCGGUUGGGGAUGGACUCGCGGCUUAUCAGCUUGUUGGUGGGGUAGUGGCUUACCAAGGCUUUGACGGGUAGCCGGCCUGAGAGGGUGACCGGCCACAUGAGGACUGAGGUACGGCCCAGACUCGUACAGGAGGCAGCAGUGGGGAAUAUUGCACAGUGGGCGGGAGCCUGAUGCAGCAACGCCGCGUUCGGGAAGACGGCCUUCGGGUUGUAAACCGCUUUCGCCUGUGACGAAGCGUGAGUGACGGUAAUGAGUAAAGAAGCACCGGCUAACUACGUG
rnacentral:rRNA from 1 species